rnacentral:rRNA from 1 species
UAAUACGGAGGGUGCGAGCGUUAAUCGGAAUUACUGGGCGUAAAGCGCGCGUAGGUGGUUUGAUAAGCUAGCUGUGAAAGCCCCGGGCUCAACCUGGGAACUGCAGUUAGAACUGUCUGGCUAGAGUACAGUAGAGGGUGGCGGAAUUUCCUGUGUAGCGGUGAAAUGCGUAGAUAUAGGAAGGAACAUCAGUGGCGAAGGCGGCCACCUGGACUGAUACUGACACUGAGGUGCGAAAGCGUGGGGAGCAAACAGGAUUAGAUUCCCUGGUAGUCCACGCCGUAAACGAUGUCUACUAGCCGUUGGGAGACUUGAUCUCUUAGUGGCGCAGUUAACGCGAUAAGUAGACCGCCUGGGGAGUACGGCCGCAAGGUUA